GUCAGAAGUGGACUCCAUGGUGGUUCUGAAGGACCGGAUCCAGGAGCUGGAGACUCAGAUGAACACCAUGAGGGACGAACUGGAGAACAAGCACCUCGAAGGAGAUGUGGCCAGCCUGAGAGAGAAAUACCAGAGAGACUUUGAAAGUCUUAAGGCCACGUGUGAACGUGGCUUUGCUGCAAUGGAAGAAACACACCAUAAGGUGAUAGAGGACCUCCAGAGGCAGCAUCAGAGGGAGAUUUCCAAGCUUAUGGAAGAGCGAGAGAGACUUUUGGCUGAGGAGACUGCUGCAACAAUUGCUGCUAUUGAAGCUAUGAAAAAUGCACACAAGGAGGAACUGGAGAAGACCCAGCGCUCCCAACUGAGUGGACUGAACUCUGACAUUGAUGAGCUUCGCUUACAAUAUGAGGAGGAGCUGCAGUCCAUCCAGAGGGAACUGGAGGUGUUGUCAGAGCAGUAUUCUCAGAAAUGUCUGGAAAACGCUCACCUGGCCCAGGCACUGGAGGCUGAGAGGCAGGCCCUCAGGCAGUGUCAGAGAGAGAACCAGGAAUUAAACGCUCACAACCAGGAAUUAAAUAAUCGACUGAGUGCAGAGAUCACUCGGAUGCGCUCAUGUUUCAGUGGUGAAACAGCGUUGUCACCACUUACCCAGGGCAAAGAUGUGUAUGAACUGGAGGUGUUGCUGCGAAUUAAGGAAUCUGAGAUCCAGUACCUGAAACAGGAAAUUCACUCUUUGAAAGAUGAACUGCAGUCUGCUUUAAGGGACAAGAAAUAUGCCACAGACAAAUAUAAGGACAUAUAUACAGAGCUCAGCAUUGUGAAGGCAAAGGCUGACUGCGACAUCAGCAAACUGAAGGAGAAACUGCUCAUUGCUACAGAAGCUUUAGGCGAGAGGACUGUCGAUGGGACAGUCACAUCUGGAUAUGAUAUCAUGAAAUCAAAAAGUAAUCCAGAUUUCAUUAAAAAAGAACAAUCAACAUCCUCCAAGCAAUUGAGAGGCGUAAGGUCAAAGUCUGUCACUGAACAGGUCUCAUGGGAUAGCUGACACUCCCAUUGUGGGGUGAUUCCCCCCCAACCCCCGCCCCAAGACGUGCUAGCCUGAAAGAGGGACUAACCGUGCAGGAGCGCAUGAAGCUUUUUGAGGCAAAAGAUUCCAAAAAGAUUUGAACAUCAAGAAUCUGAAGUUUCUCCUCUCUUUCCUGGCCUUGGUUUUUGAUCAUAUUGCUACGGCCGUGCUAGCAUCAGCUGAAGACUCCCAUAGGAAAUGGAAAAAAAAUCUAUAAAGGUCAAUUCUUAACAUUGACCUGCUGCUUCCAUGCCUCUGAUAAGUUGUCAUAUAUUUGUUUGAUUUUUUUAAUUAAUAGUAAAAAGUUUUACUGAAACAAUCCUGUGUUAGAUUUCUUUAAAAACACAUAGAUGUAUAAUCUGUCCAAGUUGGAGAUACGUCAAAUAAGCUGUGAGAGGGAUACAUGACAGCAUUUUUAUUGAUCCUCCAAAAUGCCAAAACAGACAGCAAUACACAUUAUGAAUAAUAUAUAUUUCCCAAUAUGAAUUAAGUAUCUGCUGUAUUUUAUUAUUGUUACAGUUUCUAUAUCUAAUAAUUUUUAAUGUGUUUAAUGUUGCACCGGUUCUGUUGUACAUAACUACUGGAUAUAUGUAAAACUAUGGUUUGCUGUUGAUUGUUGGGGCAUCUGCUGUACUAUAACUAUGGUUUGAUUGAUAGUGGAAAACAAUGUGAUGCUUAACUUGCUUGUGUAUGAGAGUUUUAUAAAAAUGGGAGUGUCUGUGUGUUAAGGGGGAAAAGGGGGGUGGGAUUGCACUUAUCACUUGACUACUUGAGGAAGCUUUUUUUUCUUUUUGUCUCAAAUUGGUGUAGUGACUUCAAGUCAAUUAUUGCAGUGCAACCAAACAUCCUGACUUCUGUCAAACUUAGUGAACAGCCGUGACUUGUUAGUGAUACUGGAUUUUCUUUUUUUUUUUUAAGGCAUUUUCUUAAAACCUGAAUUUGUGUUUGCUCAGUUUUGACUUUGGUGUGAGAGUAUCAUCUCAUAAAAAACUGAAACUAUUUAGGACUUUGCAUGACUGUACAGUAUAAGUUGAAUUGCAGAGAGAUCAUGUUGCCUCAUUUUCCUACUUUAUGCUUUAGUGUGGAACUCUUAACACUAAUAAGCUUUGCUUUGCAAGUCCUACUGUUUAGGUGUUGAGAUUGAAAUGUUUUACUGUAAGCGGCAGUCUUGAAGCACUUGGCCCAAUCCUUGACCUCUCACUGAAAUCUAGUCGUGCCUCAACUGAGUGAAGAAUAUUAAACAUCCAUGAAACCUGUGCAGCUAUGGAUACACACUGUAUAGUAUUCAAACCACGCCUUGUACAUAUGCCACACGGAAGACUUCUGUGUUUUGUUUUAAACUUGUACCUUGCUCACUAGCUCUAUAUGAAAUAUAUAUAUAUGAAUAUUUUUUAUUUUCAUUUGAAUGUAUAACGUCAAAUAAAUGAAGUGUUUGGAAAUCG